GAAAGGUCUCUUCGGAGAUACUCGAGUGGCGAACGGGUGAGUAACACGUGGGCAAUCUGCCCUGCACUUCGGGAUAAGCCUGGGAAACUGGGUCUAAUACCGGAUAGGACCACUUGGCGCAUGCCUUGUGGUGGAAAGCUUUUGCGGUGUGGGAUGGGCCCGCGGCCUAUCAGCUAGUUGGUGGGGUGAUGGCCUACCAAGGCGACGACGGGUAGCCGGCCUGAGAGGGUGUCCGGCCACACUGGGACUGAGAUACGGCCCAGACUCCUACGGGAGGCAGCAGUGGGGAAUAUUGCACAAUGGGCGCAAGCCUGAUGCAGCGACGCCGCGUGGGGGAUGACGGCCUUCGGGUUGUAAACCUCUUUCAGCAGGGACGAAGCGCAAGUGACGGUACCUGCAGAAGAAGCACCGGCCAACUACGUGCCAGCAGCCGCGGUAAUACGUAGGGUGCGAGCGUUGUCCGGAAUUACUGGGCGUAAAGAGCUCGUAGGUGGUUUGUCGCGUUGUUCGUGAAAACCGGGGGCUUAACCCUCGGCGUGCGGGCGAUACGGGCAGACUAGAGUACUGCAGGGGAGACUGGAAUUCCUGGUGUAGCGGU
rnacentral:rRNA from 1 species